AAACGAGAGUUAAGCACAGGGUGGCAAGAAAGAGAGGCCAGGGUCAGAAGACUUGGGCCAUAGAGAUGAGUUUCCUCCUUCCUCCCAUCUAGAACAAGGACAAUAGAAAAGUUUUGCAUAACUUCAGUGACAUCACAAAAGCAGUCUGACUGGCUGAGUUGCCCUGUGAGAUCAUUUUGUGAUCUCAGUCAACCAGGAAUCAUGUAGGAAGCAAGAUGAAGAAACCUCAUCAGUUAAAAAAAUGGAGCCCAUGCAGCAGCAGAAGGAGAACAGCCGGUUCAAAACAGCAACAAAAUGUACAGAACAGCAUAAGGUAAAUGCUAAUGGAAAGAAAGAAGAAAUGUCAAAAAGAAGCUGGUCUGAUAGAAGAAAGCUAACAUUUCAGAAGAAGCAUUUUCCCUCAGAAACAUCUUUCGCUCGUUCGGUGCCUCAUGCUGAUAUUUUGUUCUGGAGCCGCCACUACAACAGUUAACAAGAGACAUGGGCAUUAUCAAGGAAAGCAAGAAAAGAUGAAACAUUGUAAAAUUCAAAUUCUAAUAAAAUGUAACCUCUUGGCCACAUGAAGCCUUGACUUGAAUAAAAAUGCUUGGAUCUUAUCAAACAAACCAAUUACAAGUUAUAUUUAUUGCCUAAAAAGUCUCUCGAAGUGGUGGUCACCUUAAAUCAG
rnacentral:lncRNA from 11 species